rnacentral:rRNA from 1 species
AUUAGAGUUUGAUCCUGGCUCAGAUUGAACGCUGGCGGCAGGCCUAACACAUGCAAGUCGAGCGGUAACAGGAGAAAGCUUGCUUUCUUGCUGACGAGCGGCGGACGGGUGAGUAAUGUAUGGGGAUCUGCCCAAUAGAGGGGGAUAACUACUGGAAACGGUGGCUAAUACCGCAUAAUGUCUACGGACCAAAGCAGGGGCUCUUCGGACCUUGCACUAUCGGAUGAACCCAUAUGGGAUUAGCUAGUAGGUGGGGUAAAGGCUCACCUAGGCGACGAUCUCUAGCUGGUCUGAGAGGAUGAUCAGCCACACUGGGACUGAGACACGGCCCAGACUCCUACGGGAGGCAGCAGUGGGGAAUAUUGCACAAUGGGCGCAAGCCUGAUGCAGCCAUGCCGCGUGUAUGAAGAAGGCCUUAGGGUUGUAAAGUACUUUCAGCGGGGAGGAAGGUGAUAAGGUUAAAUCGUCGACCUGCAG